AUGUUUGAAGGAGUUGAGCGGGUGCUUCGGGGAGUCGGGCAUGUGCCGGGGCUACGGAGGAAUAUAAUUUCCCUUGGAGUUCUUCAUGAUGAUUGUAUGGUGUUCCGUUGUGGUCGGGAUAAGAAGACCAUGAAAAUCAUGGAAGAUGAGGUAACCAUGAUGAUUGGAGGGAGGACGGCUUUGCAUAUUUACAAGUUGUAAGGGAGCACUACUGCAGGUGGAGUCACGGAGAAUGGAAUUGCGGGAAUAGUAGCAAGGUCCCACACAGGUGGUCGGUCUAGGGCAGAUUCGUCGAGUAGGUCUUGGUAA
rnacentral:rRNA from 1 species